UAAUACGUAGGGUGCAAGCGUUGUUCGGAUUUAUUGGGCGUAAAGGGUCCGCAGGGGGUUUUUUAAGUCUGAUGUGAAAUCUCACGGCUCAACCGUGAAACUGCAUUGGAAACUGAAAGACUAGAGUACUGGAGAGGUAAGUGGAAUUCCUGGUGGAGCGGUGGAAUGCGUAGAUAUCAGGAGGAACACCGAGAGCGAAGGCAGCUUACUGGACAGUUACUGACCCUCAGGGACGAAAGCAUGGGUAGCAAACAGGAUUAGAUACCCUGGUAGUCCAUGCCGUAAACGUUGUAUACUAGGUGUGGGAGGAUUUAUCCCCUUCCGUGCCCAAGCUAACGCGAUAAGUAUACCGCCUGGGGACUACGGCCGCAGGGCUA
rnacentral:rRNA from 1 species